rnacentral:rRNA from 1 species
AUUGAACGCUGGCGGCAGGCCUAACACAUGCAAGUCGAGCGGAUGAAGGGAGCUUGCUCCUGGAUUCAGCGGCGGACGGGUGAGUAAUGCCUAGGAAUCUGCCUGGUAGUGGGGGAUAACGUCCGGAAACGGGCGCUAAUACCGCAUACGUCCUGAGGGAGAAAGUGGGGGAUCUUCGGACCUCACGCUAUCAGAUGAGCCUAGGUCGGAUUAGCUAGUUGGUGGGGUAAAGGCCUACCAAGGCGACGAUCCGUAACUGGUCUGAGAGGAUGAUCAGUCACACUGGAACUGAGACACGGUCCAGACUCCUACGGGAGGCAGCAGUGGGGAAUAUUGGACAAUGGGCGAAAGCCUGAUCCAGCCAUGCCGCGUGUGCGAAGAAGGUCUUCGGAUUGUAAAGCACUUUAAGUUGGGAGGAAGGGCAGUAAGUUAAUACCUUGCUGUUUUGACGUUACCAGCAGAAUAAGCACCGGCUAACUUCGU